AGGGGAGUAGGUUCAACGGCAGACCGCCGGUCUCCAAAACCGGAUGUGGGGGUUCGAAUCCCUCCUCCCCUGCCA
rnacentral:tRNA from 1 species